UACGUAGGGUGCGAGCGUUGUCCGGAAUUAUUGGGCGUAAAGGGCUCGUAGGCGGUCUGUCGCGUCGGGAGUGAAAACUCAGGGCUUAACCCUGAGCCUGCUUCCGAUACGGGCAGACUAGAGGUAUGCAGGGGAGAACGGAAUUCCUGGUGUAGCGGUGGAAUGCGCAGAUAUCAGGAGGAACACCGGUGGCGAAGGCGGUUCUCUGGGCAUUACCUGACGCUGAGGCGCGAAGGCUAGGGGAGCGAACGGG
rnacentral:rRNA from 1 species